CAAAAUUUCUACUGGGAAGUGGUUUAAACUCUGACAUGAUUUUCAUCUUAUUUGUAACACAAAAGGUGAUGCUGGAAUUCCACUCUAGAUCUACCUCCUCAGUUAAAAGGGCAGAACAGGCUGGGCACGGUGGCUCAAGCCUGUAAUCACAGAACUCUGGGAGGCGGAGGGUCUCACUUUGUUACUCAGGCUGAAGUGUGGUGACAUGAUCUCAGCUCACUGAAACCUCUGCCUCUGGUGCUCAAGUGAUUCUUCCAACUCAGCCUCCUAAGUAAGUGGGACUACAGGCAAGCGCCACCCAACCAGCUGCUGAUCGAGUGAAUUUCUUUUCCUGUUACGUACUUAUGGAAAUAAUGAAGAUGUCUUGAAGCAUGAGUACUUUUUGCUCAUAUGAGACAACUAGGAUAAGAUUCACUCCAGAACUCCUGAUGAUUUUUCUCUCCUUCAAAUCAGCAAGCAGUGCAGGCUUCUCAAGGGGAAGUAUGGGAAACAGAGAUAGCAGGCCGUUGGCUGUCAAGUUGCUGGGUCAGCAUCCAAACUCAGGUCUGCCUGCCUACUGAAGCCAAGAUUUUAAGCAUCACGUUGGAGUACUCAAGAAUGUGCUAGAACAGUGCUACUCAAAGUAGCCAGUCCAUAACCCGUCACCGAUCUCCAAGGAAAUGAAAGAACUUGCUCCAGAAUAUAAAUGAACACAUUGGUUGCUUACUGGGAAAUGUAUGCUAUUAAAAAAGGAGUGUCAGGUUACUGGUAUAGUUGGCUUAGACUCUGGUCAAGCUUCCUGAUUACCUUGUUGCAGCCUGUUAGCAAAGGGUUCACAGACAGGAGACACAGGUUCAUGGACAGCAUUUGACUAGCAACGCACUGGAUCACUGUGUGGGUACCAGAUUCAUCUGACCAUAUCCCAAGAAACUACAAGCAAAAUGUUUCAUAAUCCCAUAAAUGUGUCAUGGCCUACAAAUGUUUCACUAAGGAAUAAAG
rnacentral:lncRNA from 13 species